UCACUAUUGCAGCGCAUAGACUGAACCUGAAAUGACACAAAGAAGAUAAGCAUAGUUCCUGUGUAGGGAUGGCCCCAAAAAAUCCUGGAAACUCUCAUAUUGUU